rnacentral:rRNA from 1 species
UACAGAGGAGCCAAGCGUUGUCCGGAUUUACUGGGCGUAAAGAGCGCGCAGGCGGUCGUUCAAGUCGAGUGUGAAAGCCCCCGGCUCAACUGGGGAGGGUCACUCGAUACUGAUCGACUCGAAGGCAGAAGAGGGAAGCGGAAUUCCCGGUGUAGUGGUGAAAUGCGUAGAUAUCGGGAGGAACACCAGUGGCGAAGGCGGCUUUCUGGUCUGCUCUUGACGCUGAGGCGCGAAAGCUAGGGUAGCAAACGGG